CCCUUAGAUGUCCUGGGCCGCACGCGCGUUACACUGAUGCAUUCAACGAGCUUAUAACCUUGGCCGAGAGGCCUGGGCAAUCUUGUUAACGUGCAUCGUGAUAGGGAUAGAUUAUUGCAAUUAUUAAUCUUCAACGAGGAAUUCCUAGUAAGCGCGAGUCAUCAGCUCGUGCUGAUUACGUCCCUGCCCUUUGUACACACCGCCCGUCGCUGCAACUGAUUGGGUGACCUGGUGAACAUCUUGGACCGGCCCACUCAAUUUCGAGAGGACUGGAAAAGGCCGUAAAUCAGGUACAUCUAGAAAUUGCAAAAGUCGUAACA
rnacentral:rRNA from 1 species